CCUACGGGAGGCAGCAGUGAGGAAUAUUGGUCAAUGGACGAGAGUCUGAACCAGCCAAGUAGCGUGAAGGAUGACUGCCCUAUGGGUUGUAAACUUCUUUUAUAUGGGAAUAAAACGUUCCACGUGUGGGAUUUUGUAUGUACCAUAUGAAUAAGGAUCGGCUAACUCCGUGCCAGCAGCCGCGGUAAUACGGAGGAUCCGAGCGUUAUCCGGAUUUAUUGGGUUGAAAGGGAGCGUAGGUGGAUUGUUAAGUCAGUUGUGAAAGUUUGCGGCGCAACCGUAAAAUUGCAGUUGAAACUGGCAGUCUUGAGUACAGUAGAGGUGGGCGGAAUUCGUGGUGUAGCGGUGAAAUGCUUAGAGAUCACGAAGAACUCCGAUUGCGAAGGCAGUUCACUGGACUGCAACUGACACCGAGGCUCGAAAGUGUGGGUAUCAAACAGGAUUAGAUACCCGAGUAGUC
rnacentral:rRNA from 1 species